rnacentral:rRNA from 1 species
AGUGAACGCUGGCGGUAGGCCUAACACAUGCAAGUCGAACGGCAGCACAGUAAGAGCUUGCUCUUACGGGUGGCGAGUGGCGGACGGGUGAGGAAUACAUCGGAAUCUACUUUUUCGUGGGGGAUAACGUAGGGAAACUUACGCUAAUACCGCAUACGACCUACGGGUGAAAGCAGGGGAUCUUCGGACCUUGCGCGAUUGAAUGAGCCGAUGUCGGAUUAGCUAGUUGGCGGGGUAAAGGCCCACCAAGGCGACGAUCCGUAGCUGGUCUGAGAGGAUGAUCACCCACACUGGAGCUGAGACAGCGUCCAGAGUCCUAAGGGAGGCAGCAGUGGGGAAUAUUGGACAAUGGGCGCAAGCCUGGUCCAGCGAUCCCGCGUGGGUGACGAAGGCCUUCGGGUUGUAAAGCCCUUUUUUUGGGAAAGAAAAGCAGCAGGCUAAUACCAAGCUGUUCUGACGGUACCCAAAGAAUAAGCACCGGCUAACUUCGUG